rnacentral:rRNA from 1 species
UGUGACCUCAAAUCAGGUAGGACUACCCGCUGAACUUAAGCAUAUCAAUAAGCGGAGGAAAAGAAACUAACAAGGAUUCCCCUAGUAACUGCGAGUGAAGCGGGAAAAGCUCAAAUUUAAAAUCUGGCAGUCUUUUGGCUGUCCGAGUUGUAAUCUAGAGAAGUGUUAUCCGCGCUGGACCGUGUAAAAGUCUCCUGGAAUGGAGCAUCAUAGAGGGUGAGAAUCCCGUCUUUGACAUGGACUGCCAGGGCUUUGUGAUGCGCUCUCAAAGAGUCGAGUUGUUUGGGAAUGCAGCUCAAAAUGGGUGGUAAAUUCCAUCUAAAGCUAAAUAUUGGCGAGAGACCGAUAGCGAACAAGUACCGUGAGGGAAAGAUGAAAAGAACUUUGGAAAGAGAGUUAAACAGUACGUGAAAUUGCUGAAAGGGAAACGCUUGAAGUCAGUCACGUCGUCCAGGGAUCAACCUUGCUUUUGCUUGGUGCACUUUCUGGUUUGACGGGUCAGCAUCAAUUUUGACUAUUGGAAAAAGGUUAAGGGAAUGUGGCAUCUUUGGAUGUGUUUAUAGCCCUUGGUCGCAUACAAUGGUUGGGAUUGAGGAACUCAGCACGCCGCAAGGCCGGG